rnacentral:misc_RNA from 1 species
AGAGAGAGAGAGAGAGAGAUGAAGAAAAGCAAGAUUUUGAUCGUAGGAGGAACUGGUUACUUGGGAAAGAGAUUGGCGAAGGCAAGUUUAGCAUUAGGCCAUGAAACAUACAUUCUCCAAAGGGAAGAGAUUGGUGUUGACAUUGAGAAGGUACAAAUGUUAUUGUCAUUUAAAGAACAAGGAGCUCAUCUUGUGCAAGGUUCUUUUGAUGAUCAACAAAGCCUUGUAGAAGCUGUGAAAUUAGUUGAUGUUGUUAUUUGUGCAAUUUCUGGUGUUCAUAUUAGAAGCCACCAAAUCCUCCUUCAACUCAGGCUUGUUGAUGCUAUCAAACAAGCUCCAAACGUUAAGAGAUUUGUGCCGUCAGAAUUCGGAACAGAUCCAGCAAGAAUGGAGAAAGCAAUGGAACCUGGAAGAAUCACAUUUGAUGACAAAAUGGUGGUGAGAAAUGCAAUUGAAGAAGCUGGAAUUCAAUUCACUUACAUUUCUGCCAAUUGUUUUGCUGGGUAUUUUCUUGGAGGACUCUGUCAACCUGGUCACAUCAUUCCUUCAAGAGAUCAUGUCUCCUUGCUUGGAGAUGCCAAUCAGAAAGCAAUCUAUGUUGAUGAAGAUGAUAUUUCUAUCUACACUAUUAAAACCAUAGACGACCCUCGUACCCUCAAUAAGACAGUUUAUAUUAGACCUCCCAAGAAUAUUUUGUCUCAGAGAGAAGUGGUUGAAAUUUGGGAGAAUUUGAUUGGCAAACAACUUCACAAGUCCACCAUUUCCAAAGAAGAGUUCCUACAUUUCAUUAAAGGUAAUAAUUUAUUAUUUAAAUUUUACUUUUGAGAAAAUUUUAUCUAAAAUUUGAUCACCAUAAACUCAUGACACGAAUGUAUAACAAAAAAUUUUCUCUCAUUUAAUUUAAUUUAUAGUUAAUUUCUUUAGAUUAAUCAAUAUAUGGGUUAUAAGAUUUCAAACCAAAAUGUUAAUUUUUUUUAAAAUUAACUCUUAUUAAUUUAUUUAUCCGUUAAAUUACAUGUUAAUAAUAUGAUAUUAAAAUCAAUAUACAACUCAUAAGUCAUUUGAAUAAUAAAUAUUAAUUUUUUUAUAAAUAUUAAUUUUGUUAAUUUAUUUUUAUAUUAAAAUUAGAAUUUGAGCUUAACUUUAAGCAAAUGAAUCAUUUGGUUGGCCUGAAUGAAAUCUCAAAUUUUCAAAAUAUUUUUAAUUUGAGUCAUUAUAUUUCAUAUUAGUUAAAAUAAAUCGUGGGUCCGUUUGAGUCGAAGCUUGUUCGAAUGGAUCAAAAUUUGCCACCUCUAGAUAUAUACUUUAAUUAUACUUUUUAAAAUUAAAAAUAAUUGAGACUCAUGUGGUAUUUAUUUAGCAUUGAAAUUGAAAGGUAAAAACUACUUUUUGGUAAAAAAAAAAAACGGCAGUUUAGAUGCUGAAAAAAUCAAUUUAGAAAAAAUUAAUUUGUUGUUUUAGUAUUUUUAUAAUUAAAAAUUUAUUAAAUUUAAUUUUAA